AUGGAACCUGAGAUUUUUAAGUCUAUCAUGGAUUACCUUAGAAGAGAGAAUCUAUUGAAGGGCACGUCGUGUGUUGCUGUCGAGGAGCAGUUGGCAAUGUUCAUGUACAUGAUUUCGCACAAUGCUAGUAAUCAAGAUCUACAAAAAUACUUUCAACACAACGUAGAAACAAUUCAUAGGAAGAUAAACAAUAUUUUUGACUUAAUUCCAACUCUAGCCCAAAGAUUUAUAAAGAUUCCAAGUUCACUCCUGCCCCACCCGAAGAUUGUUUCGAACACUCGCUAA
rnacentral:rRNA from 1 species